AAGGGGAAAGAAUAAAGAAACCCUAAGGAGGAAAAAUUCAAGAGAAAUUCAUUGGAUUUUCGAAAAACGAAGCAAUCAGAGGUAAGAUUUCACGAUUUAGCUUAAGAUCUAUCUUACCCAUGCUUUCUUUUUCAUUUUUUAUGGUUAAAACUCAAGUUUUCAUGAUGGAAGCAUGCUGGCCGAAUCAAGGGGGGAAGGUUUUGAGGAUGGGUUUUGCUAGAUUUCAUGUUAUCUAGGCGUUUUUAGUGUUUUGUGAUAUUCAGUAUGAAAAACAAGCAAGAAAAUAACAUGUUCUUCAUCAAACCCUAAUUGGCCGAAUUCUAUAGAGAAUAUUUUGAAGAUGAAUUUUGUCAUAUUUCAUGUUAUCUAGCUCAUAUUUGAUGAUUCGUGAUGUCAGAUAUCAAAAACGGUUAUCGAAAAGUAUAGUUCCUUUAGUAAACGACUUGAACGAUAAUGAGAAAAUUAUAGUAAAUGGACUUAGAAUUGAUUUCCAAUGAGGUAUACGGACUUAUUGGAGUACCGAAAGUGCAAUGAAUCUAUUUGGAGUUGAAUUGGAUGUUUUGGCUAAUUAAACAGUGGAUAGCACGAGUUAGGUCGAAUACCAUUUUAGUCCAACAACAAUUGAACCUACGUAGAACACCAUUUCAAUUUCAUACAUUCAUAAAGAGCUUGAAAUAGUCUUAUAACAGUUUGGCACAAGUGUAUUGAAUUACUUGUUGUGCAUUAUGUAUAGGUGGUGAGCCCUUUAGUAAGGGUAAGAAUAUCGUACUCGAGGAUCAGGAGUAGGAGUACUCUCAUUAUAGUGAGUAAUCAGACGAUCAUCUUAACUAUCUAAAGUAGUUUAUACUUAUUUUUUUAUUUUAAAAAAUAAUGAAUUUAAAUUGUAAACUAUUAUGUUUUAUAACUGAAGUGUUGGAUAAUUGAAAUGAGAUUCAUAAUUUGUUUUGAAAUCGAAUACUGAUUUUGAAAAUUGAGUAAGUGGAGACUAUAUACUCGUGUUUGAUAUAUGGUUUGAAUUGAUAGCUUAUGACAAUGUGACGGCAUGAAUGGCUGGAUUUGUGUUUGUGUGGAAUAUAUGAACUGUUUUGUUUUACCUUGACAGGCUGGGUAAUAUCAUAUUAGCCAUGUCAUGUUGUUGAAAUUUUUAUUGAUUUGGUGGGGUAAUUGAUUAGCUUACUGUAGUGGGUGGGUUCCGUGGACCGGCCUAUUAGGGGGGACACAGUAAACCCCGUCAUAUUUUACCUUUGUAUGAGAGGUGCGGAGGGUAUCUCCUAAGGUAGUUUAGAGUUCACUUCAAGGCGAACCACCACGUGAGGGUGAAACUCAGCCAACGCCAAGGAACGACUAUGUUUUUAAACGUAAAAACAUGUUUUAUGUGUAUAUGUUAUUUUGACAGCCUUGGCGGACUCGGUUGGAUGCCCGGCGCAAGUUGUCACCGAGUACAAGUUUUGGCACGAGCCAAUUUUUUAAGAGAGUCAUAAGCCUUGUUGAUUUUUAUGAAAUGUAACUGUUUUAUAUGAGUUGAAAUGAGUUUUAAUGUUAUGAAUCAUAUUAUGAUGAGAUGUUUUAAUUGUCUCCAUUUAUUCGACUUUAGAUGUUAUAGAUGAACUUUACUUACUCACUGGGUUUAUAAAGACUCACCCCCUUCUUUUCACCCAUUUCAGGUUCAGAGUAGUUUGUAGACAGUCGAUUUUGUCGAGGGUUUGCUUUUGGAUUUGCACCUUUAGAAAUCAUAGGUCUACAAUCCUGUUUAUUUUUGUUAUUUUGGGGCUCACAUGUCAUUGUAAAAUAUUUUUGUAUACCCUAGCGCUGUGUGCUAUUAUGUAUAUAAAUUUAUUUUGUUAUUACGCUACAAUUAUUGUUUACGUAG
rnacentral:lncRNA from 1 species